rnacentral:lncRNA from 1 species
AUCGAUUCUACCAUGCUACUGGUGGUUUCUUUCAGACUUUCAAUUUUUUUUCUCUGUUCGUCAUCUUUGCAGUUCUGGAGCUUUUCAUCAAAGAGCUUCAGUUGGUCUAUCAAGAUCUGUAAGUAAGCGUCAGCCUCAGUAAGUUUCUUAUCAAAAUCAUGAACGCUGGGAACAAACCCUGAAUCCACACCACCGGCCAUCCCUCGGCGCGCAGCGGUGACACCAGCGGCACGGAGCGGCGGAGCUGGCGCAGCGCCCGGCCCGAUAGCGCCGCCUCCGGCGGGGCGGGGAAACGACCCCGCGUGCCGCCGCCUCGGCCCCUCCGUCCGCAUGACGGGAACGGCGGCCCCGGGUUGGCUGCCCGCCGGGGGCCGCCCCGCCCCGCGGGGAAUGGCGGUUGCCACUACGAGGCGCUGCGCGGGUGGGGCUGCAGCGGGGGUUCGUCCCGCGUCGGCUUCUAUAGCCGGCAUAUUGGAAACGGUUCUUGAGAAGGAGCGGUGAGCACAGUAGUGUGGCCCGUGAGGUGCUACUCUCAGUGCUGAAUUUAUUUCAGGGGGCUGCAGAUGUUUCUUCCUAGUCACCGAUUUUGAUUUACUCCCCCAAAUAUUACUAGGUAAAGUAAUAAUUUAAUUGGUUGUGGCCUUUGAAGGGACACAAAAAAGUUCUUUAGGCAAAAAAAAAAAAACCCGGAAACAUUGCCAAGCAGUUUUUAGCAGGAAAUUAAAGUAAACUGACUGAGAAAACACAAGUGGGAUCAAUUCAGGCUUGCUCUAAUUCUUCAAAUUGAGUAAAUGUCACAUAAAUCAGUCUUUAUAAGCUCCUUCCCUUUCUGUGAUAUUAAGGAUUUUAUUAUGUUUAUACAAUGACAGCCUUUAAGACAAUUCUCUCACUGUACUCAAAACAUUCUAAACCUUUAUUCAGUGCAAAUAGCAAACACCUCCUUUGUAUUUCUGCGCUGCCAUCAGACAAACCAGGGAUGAGAAAAUCCCCUCCUGAAGUCUGGGCUUCUGAGGGAUUACCGAGUCUCACAGACGUGCUCGAGUGCACGACAGUGCUGAGAACCACCCUCAGUCCACCAUCCAUUCUCAAAACCACUGAAUUACCAGCAUGCAGUUUGUACAGUGGGUUCAAACAGAAGUACCAUUCCUGUUAUUCACAGAGGUUCAAUGUUACUGCUCUAAUUUCAGAACGAGAUGGCACGCAAACAUACGGCACUCUUCCAGACGUCUCAUUCUGCUUGACUCAAAAAGGACCAACUCUCAGUUUAAAAAAAGAAAAAAAGAACUAAACGUGUGACUAUCAGUCUGGAACCAAUUAAAACAACAGCUAAUGAAGAGAAGUUUCAUGCUGACUUCAUGAUGGUAAGACAAGAAGACAGUGACAGGAAGAUUAGAACCUAAUCUCUGGUACUCAUACUGGUAUCUUACUAUGUCUGAUGGCACAGGG